rnacentral:rRNA from 1 species
GACGAACGCUGUCGGCGUGCCUAAUACAUGCAAGUAGAACGCUGAAGAGAGGAGCUUGCUCUUCUUGGAUGAGUUGCGAACGGGUGAGUAACGCGUAGGUAACCUGCCUUGUAGCGGGGGAUAACUAUUGGAAACGAUAGCUAAUACCGCAUAACAAUGGAUGACACAUGUCAUUUAUUUGAAAGGGGCAAUUGCUCCACUACAAGAUGGACCUGCGUUGUAUUAGCUAGUAGGUGAGGUAAUGGCUCACCUAGGCGACGAUACAUAGCCGACCUGAGAGGGUGAUCGGCCACACUGGGACUGAGACACGGCCCAGACUCCUACGGGAGGCAGCAGUAGGGAAUCUUCGGCAAUGGGGGCAACCCUGACCGAGCAACGCCGCGUGAGUGAAGAAGGUUUUCGGAUCGUAAAGCUCUGUUGUAAGUCAAGAACGGGUGUGAGAGUGGAAAGUUCACACUAUGACGGUAGCUUACCAGAAAGGGACGGCUAACUACGUGCCAGCAGCCGCGGUAAUACGUAGGUCCCGAGCGUUGUCCGGAUUUAUUGGGCGUAAAGCGAGCGCAGGCGGUUUGAUAAGUCUGAAGUUAAAGGCUGUGGCUCAACCAUAGUUCGCUUUGGAAACUGUCAAACUUGAGUGCAGAAGGGGAGAGUGGAAUUCCAUGUGUAGCGGUGAAAUGCGUAGAUAUAUGGAGGAACACCGGUGGCGAAAGCGGCUCUCUGGUCUGUAACUGACGCUGAGGCUCGAAAGCGUGGGGAGCGAACAGGAUUAGAUACCCUGGUAGUCCACGCCGUAAACGAUGAGUGCUAGGUGUUGGAUCCUUUCCGGGAUUCAGUGCCGCAGCUAACGCAUUAAGCACUCCGCCUGGGGAGUACGACCGCAAGGUUGAAACUCAAAGGAAUUGACGGGGGCCCGCACAAGCGGUGGAGCAUGUGGUUUAAUUCGAAGCAACGCGAAGAACCUUACCAGGUCUUGACAUCCCGAUGCUAUUUCUAGAGAUAGAAAGUUACUUCGGUACAUCGGUGACAGGUGGUGCAUGGUUGUCGUCAGCUCGUGUCGUGAGAUGUUGGGUUAAGUCCCGCAACGAGCGCAACCCCUAUUGUUAGUUGCCAUCAUUCAGUUGGGCACUCUAGCGAGACUGCCGGUAAUAAACCGGAGGAAGGUGGGGAUGACGUCAAAUCAUCAUGCCCCUUAUGACCUGGGCUACACACGUGCUACAAUGGUUGGUACAACGAGUUGCGAGUCGGUGACGGCGAGCUAAUCUCUUAAAGCCAAUCUCAGUUCGGAUUGUAGGCUGCAACUCGCCUACAUGAAGUCGGAAUCGCUAGUAAUCGCGGAUCAGCACGCCGCGGUGAAUACGUUCCCGGGCCU